GACGAACGCUGGCGGCGUGCUUAACACAUGCAAGUCGAACGAUGAAGCCGGAGCUUGCUCCGGCGGAUUAGUGGCGAACGGGUGAGUAACGCGUGAGCAAUCUGCCCUUGACUCUGGGAUAACUGCGGGAAACUGUAGCUAAUACCGGAUACGACACCUUGGGGCAUCCCAGGGUGUGGAAAGAAUUUCGGUCAAGGAUGAGCUCGCGGCCUAUCAGCUAGUUGGUGAGGUAAUGGCUCACCAAGGCGACGACGGGUAGCCGGCCUGAGAGGGUGACCGGCCACACUGGAACUGAGACUCGGUCCAGACUCCUACGGGAGGCAGCAGUGGGGAAUAUUGCACAAUGGGCGAAAGCCUGAUGCAGCAACGCCGCGUGAGGGAUGAAGGCCUUCGGGUUGUAAACCUCUUAGCAGGAAAGAAGCGAAAGUGACGGUACCUGCAGAAAAAGCACCGGCUAACUACGUGCCAGCCGCCGCAGUAA
rnacentral:rRNA from 1 species